rnacentral:rRNA from 1 species
GACGAACCGUACGAACGUUAUUCGGAAUUACUGGGCUUAAAAGGGUGCGUAGGCGGCGCAGUAAGUUGGGUGUGAAAUCCCUCGGCUUAACCGAGGAAUUGCGCCCAAAACUACUGUGCUCGAGGGAGAUAGAGGUGAGCGGAACUUAGGGUGGAGCGGUGAAAUGCGUUGAUAUCCUAAGGAACACCGGUGGCGAAAGCGGCGUACUGGGUCUUAUCUGACGCUGAGGCACGAAAGCUAGGGGAGCGAACGGG